rnacentral:rRNA from 1 species
GUCCACGCCCUAAACGAUGUCAACUGGUUGUCGGGAAGCAAUUCCUUGGUAACGAAGCUAACGCGUGAAGUUGACCGCCUGGGGAGUACGGCCGCAAGGUUAAACUCAAAGGAAUUGACGGGACCCGCACAAGCGGUGGAUUAUGUGGAUUAAUUCGAUGCAACGCGAAAACCUUACCUACCCUUGACAUGUACGGAAUCCCGCAGAGAUGCGGGGGUGCCCGAAAAGGGAGCCGUAACACAGGUGCUGCAUGGCUGUCGU